rnacentral:lncRNA from 1 species
GGACUCAGUGGUUUUUGAGGAUGUGGCCGUGAACUUCACCCUGGAGGAGUGGGCCUUACUGGAUCUUUCCCAGAAGAAACUCUAUAGAGAUGUGAUGCGAGAGACCUUGAGGAACCUGGCCUUAGUAGGGAGAAAAUGGGAAGGUCAUGCCAUUGAAGAUGAGUACAAAAAUCCGGGGAGGAAACCAAGGGCCACACUCAUGGCAUAUGGAAGUUCU